GUGCUUAGUGUUCUUGAUAAUAGACUUUCAAUUCAAACUAUUUCUACUUUCAAAUACUAGGAAUGGCAUCUUUUUGUCCUUAAUUGGCUUAUUUUUGAUGGUGGAUGCUAUGCCUGUUUGUGCCUGCUCCACUUGGUAUUUUAUCCUAGCAACUAAUAUGUAUAAUUUUUCAUCAUCGCAAGCCUGAUAGGGCAUCGUUAAUACGAGCUUUGAUAAUUUUCCUUUAGCAUUAUCUCUUGCUCAUUCAUUGUAUAUGGAUUAUUUUAACCUUCAUUUCCGUUUAUUUGAUGAAAAAUAUUUUCUGGGCAACCAUUUUUUUGCAUUCUUAGGUGUUUAUUACAAUUUCGAAAAAUUUCCAGCUGCAAAAUGUUUUUAUUGGUCAAAGGGAAUAAUCGAAAAUGACCUUUUUUCCUUUAAAGGAAAAGGAAAAUAUUUCUCUAACUUCAAUAAAAUCAUUAAAAGGGGAUAAACUUAUAAGGAACCGUUGGUAGAAUCUUAUGAUUCUAGAUUUGAAUCUUACGAUUUGAUUCAAUUU
rnacentral:misc_RNA from 1 species